GCACAACCGCAAGGUUAAAGUGGAAGGCACUGAACUUUUCUUCAAGGCGUGAGGUUCAAUCUCAAUUCUUAAAGUCAUGGAUAAAACCGAACUCUGAAAAAAAGGAUAGAUUUAUCUGGUUUAAGUUGACUACCCUGACAUUUAUCCUUCCAUUAGGGUUUUACCUGUUUGAUUAGCACAACAAAUAUUUACGUGCAUUUUGUAAUUGUAUUUUUUUACGCAUUACUCUCUCAGACCGUGAAUCUCAAUGAAUUUAACGAUCUAGAGUUCAAACUAAGAAAGUCAUGAUUGGAAAGUCUAUUUACAGAGCAUGUAGGCACUCCAUGCCAGUGGAUGACAUGGAGAAGGAGAAAAUGAGAUGUUCCAAUAGAGGGUUUCUCGCUCUGUAUAUUUUCUGCAACUUGUAUUGUCUCGUUACAGUUGAAGGUAAUGGAAGAGGACUAUGCAUCUCUCCUGGAGGCCACUUUCCUCGAUUUACAUCUGAAGGGUUACCACCAAGAAAAUCUUCGAAAGGACCAAAUGAUUUAACAGCAUGCAGGAUUUACCGGAAAAGGACAUGCUGUAGUUCAACUCAAACUCAUCCUAUUUUGAUAUCUAUAAGAAAAUUAGCUUCUAUUGGGGAGGCCAGUGAGGAAUGUCUAGCUCUAUGGGAAUUAUUGCAAUGUUCAAUUUGUGAUCCCCAUGUUGGUGUUAGACCAGGACCACCAGUGAUAUGUGAGUCCUUUUGCAAUUCUGUUUUUCAGGCCUGUUCCAAUGCCUUCUUUUCGGUUGAUCCAAACACUCAGGUUCUGGUGCCAUGUGGUUCUAGAGACACCCUCUGUGGAAAGGGGUUGGAAUGGACUUCAAAUAGCUCCGAGUUUUGCCAGCUUGUGGGUUUCUCUGUGCUAGAACAUGUGGACAGUUUCACCGGCCUAGAAAACCCAUUUUGUUUUGAUGGAAGGACAAGCAUUGAGACAGUAAAUGUCUGGCAGAAGUCUUCGCAAAGUGACUUUUCAGAGGAAGUAUGGGAUUCAACUCUGUUGCAACAAUUCUAUCAAUGGGUGAUGCAGUUGGAUACCAGUGAAAGGAUAUCUUGGGCAGUUGGGGGACUAGUUCUUACAGCAGGUGUUAUAUACACAAGCAAGCGAAGAAGUCGCAGUUAUCGCCAAAAAAUAGCAGCACUUAAUCGAGCAAAAAACUUGUUGGAAGCAAGAGCUAAGCAGCAAUCUACAGUGAAUUCUUCUGCUACUAAAGCCUCUAAAGGCAAUAAAGGUGGAAAGAAAAGCUAAGUUUUAUAUACAAGCUGCUUUACAUAUGUGGAUGACAGACAUGGUUUCAAUGUGGGGUUUUCACCUGUAUUUAUUGCAAAUAUAGACUUGGUACCUGUUAAAUGUGGGAACUUUUGGUACUGAACAGUUGCAAACACUUGAAUAUGUCAUCAUCAUUUUGGGGCCAAUUACCAUCAGCUUAUAUUGGGAGAAAAUAUUUCCUGGUUCAUAUUGUGUAAGAAGAGUAUGGAUUAAUCGUAUACUUAAUCAUUCAGAAGCAUUAUCAAUCCAUCAUUUUCCUUCCAGACAUAUGCAAUUGUAGCAGAAUUUUGUGAUUUAAUGUUUUGAUACCUCUUGAAGAAGGAAGGACUCUUCCUUGACUUAUUUGAGUAAAGAGGCAGUUGCUGUCCUGGAAGAUGUUCUCGAUAUGGUGCAUGAACAUAUAUGCAUUUGACCUUUUAGUAGAAUUUAUUAAUCUUAUAUGAUCAAAGACCAUCUCAAACUUUUAUAGCACAAGACUAAGGAGGUCCUGGGGUUUAAAAUUUACUUCAUUGUUAGAUUCAUAUGGUUGUAAAAUACCAAUUCCCAAUGCUACAACACACCAAUCAUCUGGAUAUGUUCUCCUCAGACAGAUA